ACUCCACGUACGGCGCCGGGGGGACCGGGUCCUUGCGCCGGUUUCCGCUUCUCGUGGGUCCUGCGGCGGCGGCGGCGGCCAAGCGGCGUUCACCAGGGAGUCGGUGAGCGCGCGGACUGUCCCGAGGCCAAGCUGGGGCCGUUCCAGGGUGCUCGGUCCGGUGGUCACGGGGCCUGGAGGCCCCUGGGCCCGCGGAGGCCGCGGCCGGGCUCUGUCAGCCAGCUCGGCGUUGGACACUCGCCUUACUCGCGGCUCCUAACGGGGCGGGCCGGGGGCACAGCCCUCGUCCGCCGCCAUUGCCACUUGACGUCGUGUCACGUAGGCUCGGCGGAGUAGCAGCGCGCAUGCGCGGCCUGCCUGUCAGUAACCACGUGAUGGACCCGGAAGCCCGAGGGCAGAUGCUAAAUGAUGGCCAUUUGACAUUUGCGUGUGUUCACUAUGGAUAGUUUUACCAAGUACAUUGAUUUGGGCCCUUACAGCUUACAAAGUAAAGAUAACACUUACUCCUCCAAGAAAUUGAUUUCAGCUAAGCAAAACAUUGAUACAGGGCUAUAAUGGAAGUGUUGGACUCAUAAACGUUUUAUGAAAUCAGUGUGUGUGUAUUACAGAAAUCAGAAAUGAGAAGUAAGAACAUGUCUGGGAGAGUGUGACAUAAGAAAAAUAACUUGUAGGCGUAUUUAACAGACAGCAGCAGUUCUCAGGAUUCCCCAUGUUAGAGCCUUCCUUCCUGUCCUCUGAGAAAUGAAAAUGAAAUCCAAAGACCCCCAACUGACUACACGAACCCCCUACUGGCUAAGGAGAUCCCAGGGUUGCCUUGAAGGCAGUUCUCAGCCAUGACAGAUGGGAGUUUCGGCCCAAUUGACCAGUAUUCCUUACUGAUAAGAGACACUGACCAUGGAGUGGUUCUGGUGAGAUGACAUGACCCUCGUGAAGGGGCCUGAAGCUUCAUUGUGUUUGUUCUCCCUCUGUUGCCGAGGCUGGACUGUACUGCCGUGAUCUCGGCUUGCUGCAACCUCCCUGCCUCGGGCUCCCAUGAUUCUCCUGCCUCAGCCUGCCGAGUGCCUGGGAUUGCAGGCAUGCGCCACCACGCCUGACUGGUUUUUGUAUUUUUGGUGGAGAUGGGGUUUCGCUGUGUUGGCCGGGCUGGUCUCCAGCUCCUGACCUUGAGUGAUCUGCCCGCCUCGGCCUCCCGAGGUGCUGGGAUUGCAGACGGAGUCUCUCUCACUCAGUGCUGCCCAGGCUGGAGUGCAGUGGCGUGAUCUCGGCUCGCUACAACCUCCACCUCCCAGCCGCCUGCCUUAGCCUCCCAAAGUGCUAAGAUUACAGCCUCUGCCCAGCCGCCACCCUGUCUAGGAAGUGAGGAGUGUCUCUGCCCGGCCACCCAUCGUCUGGGAUGUGAGGAGCGCCUCUGCCUGGCUGCCCCGUCUGGGAUGUGAGGGGCGCCUCUGCCCGGCCACCCCAUCUGGGAGCCUUUCUGCAGGUGUACCCAACAGCUCCGAGGAGACAGUGACCAUCGAGAACGGGCCAUGAUGACGAUGGCGGUUUUGUCGAAAAGGAAAGGGGGAAAUGUGGGGAAAAGAAAGAGAGAUCAGACUGUUACUGUGUCUGUGUAGAAAGAAGCAGACCAAGGAGACACCAUUUUGUUCUGUACUAAGAAAAAUUCUUCUGCCUUGGGAUGCUGUUAAUCUAUGACCUUACCCCCAACCCCGUGCUCUCUGAAACCUGUGCUGUGUCAACUCAGGGUUAAAUGGAUUAAGGGCGGUGCAAGAUGUGCUUUGUUAAACAGAUGCUUGAAGGCAGCAUGCUCGUUAAGAGUCAUCACCACUCCCUAAUCUCAAGUACCCAGGGACACAAACACUGUGGAAGUCCGCAGGGACCGCUGCGUAGGAAAACCAGAGACCUUUGUUCAAGUGUUUAUCUGCUGACCUUCUCUCCACUAUUGUCCUAUGACCCUGCCACAUCCCCCUCUCUGAGAAACACCCAGGAAUGAUUGAUAAAUACUAAAAUAAAUAAAUAAAUAAAAUAAAAACUUGAUUUUG
rnacentral:lncRNA from 1 species